rnacentral:rRNA from 1 species
UAGAGUUUGAUCAUGGCUCAGGAUGAACGCUAGCGACAGGCUUAACACAUGCAAGUCGAGGGGCAGCGGGGCGGCAGGCUUGCCUGCCGUUGCCGGCGACCGGCGCACGGGUGAGUAACACGUAUGCAACCUGCCCGUGGCAGGGGGAUAAGCGGGGGAAACCCCGUCUAAUACCGCGUAACGCGGCCUAGGGACAUCCCAAGGCCGCCAAAGGGAGCAAUCCCGGCCACGGAUGGGCAUGCGGCGCAUUAGCUAGUCGGCGGGGUAACGGCCCACCGAGGCGACGAUGCGUAGGGGUUCUGAGAGGAAGGCCCCCCACACUGGUACUGAGACACGGACCAGACUCCUACGGGAGGCAGCAGUGAGGAAUAUUGGUCAAUGGGCGCGAGCCUGAACCAGCCAAGUCGCGUGAGGGAGGACGGCCCUACGGGUUGUAAACCUCUUUUGCCGGGGAGCAACGGGCGUCACGUGUGGCGCCACUGAGAGUACCCGGAGAAAAAGCAUCGGCUAACUCCGUGCCAGCAGCCGCGGUAAUACGGAGGAUGCGAGCGUUAUCCGGAUUUAUUGGGUUUAAAGGGUGCGUAGGCGGAUCGUUAAGUCAGUGGUCAAAUUGAGGGGCUCAACCCCUUCCCGCCAUUGAAACUGGCGUUCUUGAGUGGAAGAGAAGUAUGCGGAAUGCGUGGUGUAGCGGUGAAAUGCAUAGAUAUCACGCAGAACCCCGAUUGCGAAGGCAGCAUGCCGGCUUCCGACUGACGCUGAAGCACGAAAGCGUGGGGAUCGAACAGGAUUAGAUACCCUGGUAGUCCACGCGGUAAACGAUGAGCGCUAGGUGUCCGGGGGGAAUGGCCCCUGGGUGCCACAGCGAAAGCGUUAAGCGCUCCACCUGGGGAGUACGCCGGCAA